rnacentral:rRNA from 1 species
GAUGAACGCUGGCGGCGUGCCUAAUACAUGCAAGUCGAGCGAACAGACGAGGAGCUUGCUCCUCUGACGUUAGCGGCGGACGGGUGAGUAACACGUGGAUAACCUACCUAUAAGACUGGGCUAACUUCGGGAAACCGGAGCUAAUACCGGAUAAUAUAUUGAACCGCAUGGUUCAAUAGUGAAAGACGGUUUUGCUGUCACUUAUAGAUGGAUCCGCGCCGCAUUAGCUAGUUGGUAAGGUAACGGCUUACCAAGGCAACGAUGCGUAGCCGACCUGAGAGGGUGACCGGCCACACUGGAACUGAGACACGGUCCAGACUCCUACGGGAGGCAGCAGUAGGGAAUCUUCCGCAAUGGGCGAAAGCUUGACGGAGCAACGCCGCGUGAGUGAUGAAGGUCUUCGGAUCGUAAAACUCUGUUAUUAGGGAAGAACAAAUGUGUAAGUAACUAUGCACGUCUUGACGGUACCUAAUCAGAAAGCCACGGCUAACUACGUG